rnacentral:rRNA from 1 species
GACGAACGCUGGCGGCGUGCCUAAUACAUGCAAGUAGAACGCAGUUGCGCACGGGUGAGUAACGCGUAGGUAACUGCCUCAUAGCGGGGGAUAACUAUUGGAAACGAUAGAUAAUACCGCAUACUGUGAGAUGGACCUGCGUUGUAUUAGCUAGUUGGUGAGGUAAAGGCUCACCAAGGCGACGAUACAUAGCCGACCUGCGAGGGUGAUCGGACACUCGUGGUCUUAGAGACCGCCCAUACUCCUACGGGAGGCAGCAGUAGGGAAGCUUCUGCAAUGGACGGAGGUCUGACCGAGCAACGCCGCAUGAGUGAUGAAGGUUUUCGGAUCGUAAUGCUCUGUUGUUAGAGAGGCGGGAACUAGGCAGAAAGGGACGGCUAACUACGCGCCAGCAGCCGCGGUAAUUC